rnacentral:rRNA from 1 species
GAGUUUGAUCAUGGCUCAGAUUGAACGUUGGCGGCAGGCCUAAUACAUGCAAGUCGAACGGCAGCACGAGAGCUUGCUCUUGGUGGCGAGUGGCGGACGGGUGAGUAACGCGUAGGAAUCUACCCAGUAGCGGGGGAUAGCCCGGGGAAACCCGGAUUAAUACCGCAUACGCCCCACGGGGGAAAGGCCGGGAUCUUCGGACCGGUCACUAUUGGAGGAGCCUGCGUAGGAUUAGCUAGUUGGUGAGGUAAAGGCUCACCAAGGCGACGAUCCUUAGCUGGUCUGAGAGGACGAUCAGCCACACUGGAACUGAGACACGGUCCAGACUCCUACGGGAGGCAGCAGUAGGGAAUAUUGCGCAAUGGGGGAAACCCUGACGCAGCCAUGCCGCGUGUGUGAAGAAGGCCUUAGGGUUGUAAAGCACUUUCAGUAGGGAGGAAUUAGUUGGAUUAAUAACCCAGCGAA